rnacentral:rRNA from 1 species
CGAACAGACGAGGAGCUUGCUCCUCUGACGUUAGCGGCGGACGGGUGAGUAACACGUGGAUAACCUACCUAUAAGACUGGGAUAACUUCGGGAAACCGGAGCUAAUACCGGAUAAUAUAUUGAACCGCAUGGUUCAAUAGUGAAAGACGGUUUUGCUGUCACUUAUAGAUGGAUCCGCGCCGCAUUAGCUAGUUGGUAAGGUAACGGCUUACCAAGGCAACGAUGCGUAGCCGACCUGAGAGGGUGAUCGGCCACACUGGAACUGAGACACGGUCCAGACUCCUACGGGAGGCAGCAGUAGGGAAUCUUCCGCAAUGGGCGAAAGCCUGACGGAGCAACGCCGCGUGAGUGAUGAAGGUCUUCGGAUCGUAAAACUCUGUUAUUAGGGAAGAACAAAUGUGUAAGUAACUAUGCACGUCUUGACGGUACCUAAUCAGAAAGCCACGGCUAACUACGUGCCAGCAGCCGCGGUAAUACGUAGGUGGCAAGCGUUAUCCGGAAUUAUUGGGCGUAAAGCGCGCGUAGGCGGUUUUUUAAGUCUGAUGUGAAAGCCCACGGCUCAACCGUGGAGGGUCAUUGGAAACUGGAAAACUUGAGUGCAGAAGAGGAAAGUGGAAUUCCAUGUGUAGCGGUGAAAUGCGCAGAGAUAUGGAGGAACACCAGUGGCGAAGGCGACUUUCUGGUCUGUAA